UGGCUCUCGCAUCGAUGAAGAACGCAGCGAAAUGCGAUAAGUAAUGUGAAUUGCAGAAUUCAGUGAAUCAUCGAAUCUUUGAACGCACCUUGCGCUCCUUGGUAUUCCUCGGAGCAUGCCUGUUUGAGUAUCAUGAAAUCCUCAAAAUGAAUCUUUUGUUAGUUCGAUUGAUUCUAUUUUGGACUUGGAGGUCUGCAGAUUCACGUCUGCUCCUCUUAAAUGUAUUAGCUGGAUCUCCGUGAGCUCGGUUCCACUCGGCGUGAUAAGUAUCGCUCGCCGAGGACACUCGUAAAAAAAGUGGCCGGGGUUGCAGAUGAACUGCUCCUAAUAGUCUAUUCACUUGGACAAUUUAUUUAUGAUCUGAUCUCAAAUCAGGUAGGACUACCCGCUGA
rnacentral:misc_RNA from 1 species